UACGAAGGGGGCUAGCGUUGCUCGGAAUCACUGGGCGUAAAGCGCACGUAGGCGGAUUGUUAAGUCAGGGGUGAAAUCCCGGAGCUCAACUCCGGAACUGCCUUUGAUACUGAUAGUCUUGAGUUCGGGAGAGGUGAGUGGAACUGCGAGUGUAGAGGUGAAAUUCGUAGAUAUUCGCAAGAACACCAGUGGCGAAGGCGGCUCACUGGCCCGAUACUGACGCUGAGGUGCGAAAGCGUGGGGAGCAAAC
rnacentral:rRNA from 1 species